rnacentral:rRNA from 1 species
UUAGAGUUUGAUCCUGGCUCAGGAUGAACGCUGGCGGCGUGCUUAACACAUGCAAGUCGAACGAAGCAUGUAAAACAAUCCUUCGGGUGCGUUUUAUAUGACUGAGUGGCGGACGGGUGAGUAACGCGUGGGGAACCUACCGUAUGCAGGGGGACAACAGUCAGAAAUGACUGCUAAUACCGCAUAAGCACACAAUGCUGCAUGGCAUGGUGUGAAAAGAUUUAUCGGCAUACGAUGGCCCCGCGUCUGAUUAGCCAGUUGGCAGGGUAAUGGCCUACCAAAGCAACGAUCAGUAGCCGGCUUGAGAGAGUGACCGGCCACAUUGGGACUGAGACACGGCCCAGACUCCUACGGGAGGCAGCAGUGGGGAAUAUUGGGCAAUGGGCGCAAGCCUGACCCAGCAACGCCGCGUGAAGGAAGAAGGCUUUCGGGUUGUAAACUUCUUUUCUCAGGGACGAAGCAAGUGACGGUACCUGAGGAAUAAGCCACGGCUAACUACGUGCCAGCAGCCGCGGUAAUACGUAGGUGGCAAGCGUUAUCCGGAUUUACUGGGUGUAAAGGGCGUGUAGGCGGGACUGCAAGUCAGAUGUGAAAACCACGGGCUCAACCUGUGGCCUGCAUUUGAAACUGUAGUUCUUGAGUACUGGAGAGGCAGACGGAAUUCCUAGUGUAGCGGUGAAAUGCGUAGAUAUUAGGAGGAACACCAGUGGCGAAGGCGGUCUGCUGGACAGCAACUGACGCUGAGGCGCGAAAGCGUGGGGAGCAAACAGGAUUAGAUACCCUGGUAGUCCACGCUGUAAACGAUGGAUACUAGGUGUGGGGGGACUGACCCCCUCCGUGCCGCAGUUAACACAAUAAGUAUCCCACCUGGGGAGUACGAUCGCAAGGUUGAAACUCAAAGGAAUUGACGGGGGCCCGCACAAGCGGUGGAGUAUGUGGUUUAAUUCGAAGCAACGCGAAGAACCUUACCAGGGCUUGACAUCCCGGUGACCGCUGUAGAGAUACAGUUUUCCCUUCGGGGACACUGGUGACAGGUGGUUCAUGGUUGUCGUCAGCUCGUGUCGUGAGAUGUUGGGUUAAGUCCCGCAACGAGCGCAACCCUUGCCGUCAGUAGCCAGCAGGUGAAGCUGGGCACUCUGGCGGGACAGCCGGGGAUAACCCGGAGGAAGGCGGGGAUGACGUCAAAUCAUCAUGCCCCUUAUGGCUUGGGCUACACACGUGCUACAAUGGCGUAAACAAAGGGAAGCGAGCCCGCGAGGGGGAGCGAAUCCCAAAAAUAACGUCCCAGUUCGGACUGUAGUCUGCAACCCGACUACACGAAGCUGGAAUCGCUAGUAAUCGCGAAUCAGAAUGUUGCGGUGAAUACGUUCCCGGGUCUUGCACACACCGCCCGUCA